ACGGGUGAGUAACGCGUGAGUAACCUGCCCUUGAAUCUGGGAUAACUUCGCGAAAGCGUUGCUAAUACCGGAUACGGUUCAAUGAACCUCGGUUUAGAGAAUUAAAGAUGACCUAUCCAUGGAAGUUGUCGUUUGAGGAGGGGCUCGCGUCCCAUUAGCUUGUUGGUGGGGUAAUGGCCUACCAAGGCCGCGAUGGGUAGCUGGUCUGAGAGGAUGAUCAGCCACACUGGAACUGAAACACGGUCCAGACUCCUACGGGAGGCAGCAGUGAGGAAUUUUGCGCAAUGGGGGAAACCCUGACGCAGCAACGCCGCGUGAGUGAAGAAGGCCUUAGGGUCGUAAAGCUCUGUCAAGUGGGAAAAACGUCACAUAGUCAAUAGCUGUGUGAUUUGAUGGUACCACUAGAGGAAGCACCGGCUAACUCCGUGCCAGCAGCCGCGGUAAUACGGAGGGUGCUAGCGUUGUUCGGAAUUACUGGGCGUAAAGAGCGUGUAGGCGGUUUGGCAAGUCAGAUGUGAAAGCCCUGGGCUCAACCCAGGAAGUGCAUUUGAAACUGCCUUUCUAGAGUAUGGGAGAGGAGAGUGGAAUUCCCAGUGUAGAGGUGAAAUUCGUAGAUAUUGGGAGGAACACCCGUGGCGAAGGCGACUCUCUGGACCAAUACUGACGCUGAGACGCGAAAGCGUGGGGACAAACAGGAUUAGAUACCCUGGUAGUCCACGCCGUAAACGAUGAGCACUAGGUGUAGCGGGUAUUGACCCCUGCUGUGCCGUAGCUAACGCAUUAAGUGCUCCGCCUGGGGAGUACGGCCGCAAGGCUAAAACUCAAAGGAAUUGACGGGGGCCCGCACAAGCGGUGGAGCAUGUGGUUUAAUUCGACGCAACGCGAAGAACCUUACCUGGGCUUGACAUCCUUUGACCACCCCGGAAACGGGGUUUACCCUGCUUGCAGGGACAGAUUGACAGGUGCUGCAUGGCUGUCGUCAGCUCGUGUCGUGAGAUGUUGGGUUAAGUCCCGCAACGAGCGCAACCCUUGUUUUUAGUUGCCAGUAUUAAGUUAGGCACUCUAAAGAUACUGCCUCGGUUAACGAGGAGGAAGGUGGGGAUGACGUCAAGUCCUCAUGGCCUUUAUGCCCAGGGCUACACACGUGCUACAAUGGACGGUACAAAGGGUCGCUAACCCGCGAGGGUACGCUAAUCCCAAAAAGCCGUUCUCAGUUCGGAUUGGAGUCUGCAACUCGACUCCAUGAAGUUGGAAUCGCUAGUAAUCGUGGAUCAGCAUGCCACGGUGAAUACGUUCCCGGGCCUUGUACACACCGCCCGUCACACCACGAAAGUUGGCUGUACCAGAAGUUGCUGGGCUAACCCUUCGGGGAGGCAGGUACCUAAGGUACGGUUGAUAAUUGGGGUGAAGUCGUAACAAGGUA
rnacentral:rRNA from 1 species